AGAGAUUGAACUCAAGAGUUUGAUCCUGGCUCAGAUUGAACGCUGGCGGCAUGCUUUACACAUGCAAGUCGAACGG
rnacentral:rRNA from 1 species